CGACGCUCAUCUCACGAGCACACUACGCAACCAAGACACCCGCAACUCGCCUCCAAAGUACCCCCCACACAACGAAGCAAAGGCGGUAACAUCUCCUCAAGAGCUAACGGCUGGCCAACGUCCCCCCAAAUACACUCAGUAUCUAGCGUGCGGCUAUGUCACCUCCUCAGUACUGCAACCGCACAGUACUCGCUGUCACACCUGUCGUCAACUCUCCCCUGCUUUGGUACCGGGCCUUCAACCUAUUGGCUCGGAUUUUUUUUUGGAAAAAAAAGAGAAUGCGAGUUUCGUAGGUGAACCUGCGGAAAGGAUCAUUG
rnacentral:rRNA from 1 species